UUACGCUCAAAUCACGCUGAAAACACCGGUUCUCGUUCGAUCACCGAAGUUAAGCAUCGUAGAGCCAGGUCAGUACUUAGAUGGGGGACCGCUUGGGAACACCUGGUACUGUAAG
rnacentral:rRNA from 1 species